rnacentral:ncRNA from 1 species
AAGUAACUCCGAGUCCUUCUGAGGAUAGGAGUAACGGCUGGUUGGCACAGCCUACAGUCCAUCUGUUCGAUCGUAACGAGGGCCGUUUCGCCCCGCGAGAACAGGUCGUGGACUGUAAACCGUAAUAUCCCAACGGCAGUCGGGAUUCCACGUCGUUUACGGCGUGGU